GAGCCUACGGGGGGCAGCAGUGGGGGAUAUUGCACAAUGGGGGGAACCCUGAUGCAGCGACGCCGCGUGGGCGAUGGAGCGCCUCGGCGCGUAAAGCCCUAUCAGCAGGGAAGAAGAUGACGGUACCUGACUAAGAAGCCCCGGCUAAAUACGUGCCAGCAGCCGCGGUAAUACGUAUGGGGCAAGCGUUAUCCGGAUUUACUGGGUGUAAAGGGAGCGCAGACGGCAGUGCAAGUCUGGAGUGGAAGCCCGGGGCCCAACCCCGGAACUGCUCUGGAAACUGUGGGGCUAG
rnacentral:rRNA from 1 species